rnacentral:rRNA from 1 species
UACGUAGGGUGCGAGCGUUGUCCGGAAUUAUUGGGCGUAAGGGGCUCGUAGGCGGUUUGUCGCGUCGGGAGUGAAAACCCAGGGCUUAACUCUGGGCUUGCUUUCGAUACGGGCAGACUAGAGGUAUGCAGGGGAGAACGGAAUUCCUGGUGUAGCGGUGAAAUGCGCAGAUAUCAGGAGGAACACCGGUGGCGAAGGCGGUUCUCUGGGCAUUACCUGACGCUGAGGAGCGAAAGUGUGGGGAGCGAACAGG